CAGUAGCCGCGGGAAUACGGAGGGAGCUAGCGUUGUUCGGAAUUACUGGGCGUAAAGCGCGCGUAGGCGGUUACUCAAGUCAGAGGUGAAAGCCCAAGGCUCAACCCCGGAACUGCCUUUGAAACUAGGUGACUAGAAUCUUGGAGAGGUCAGUGGAAUUCCGAGUGUAGAGGUGAAAUUCGUAGAUAUUCGGAAGAACACCAGUGGCGAAGGCGACUGACUGGACAAGUAUUGACGCUGAGGUGCGAAAGCGUGGGGAGCAAACAGGAUUAGAUACCCCAGUAGUCCCUGUCUCUUAUAC
rnacentral:rRNA from 1 species